rnacentral:rRNA from 1 species
UACGUAGGGGGCAAGCGUUGUCCGGAUUUAUUGGGCGUAAAGAGCGUGUAGGCGGCCAGGUAGGUCUGCUGUGAAAACUCGAGGCUUAACCUCGAGCUGUCGGCGGAAACCAUCUGGCUAGAGUCCGGAAGAGGAGAAUGGAAUUCCCGGUUUAGCGGUGAAAUGCGCAGAUAUCGGGAAGAACACCCGUGGCGAAGGCGGUUCUCUGGGACGGUACUGACGCUGAGACGCGAAAGCGUGGGGAGCGAACAGG